GGGUCUGCGUUUCAUUAGCUUGUUGGCGGGGUAACGGCCCACCAAGGCAACGAUGGGUAGCCGAUUUGAGAGGAUGAUCGGCCACACUGGAACUGAAACACGGUCCAGACUCCUACGGGAGGCAGCAGUGGGGAAUAUUGCGCGAUGGGCGAAAGCCUGACGCACCGGCGCCGCGUGAGGGAUGAAGGUUUUCGGAUCGUAAACCUCUGUCAGAAGGGAAGAAACUACRUUGUGCUAAUCAGUAGCGUACUGACGGUACCUUCAAAGGAAGCACCGGCUAACUACGUGCCAGCAGGCGCGGUAAUWCGGAGGGKGUAACGCG
rnacentral:rRNA from 1 species